rnacentral:rRNA from 1 species
GAUGAACGCUAGCGGCAGGCUUAACACAUGCAAGUCGAGGGGUAGGGUUCUUCGGAAUUUGAGACCGGCGCACGGGUGCGUAACGCGUAUGCAAUCUGCCUUUUACAGAGGGACAGCCCAGAGAAAUUUGGAUUAAUACCUCAUAGUAUAGUACAAUCGCAUGAUUGAACUAUUAAAGUCACAACGGUAAAGAUGAGCAUGCGUCCCAUUAGCUUGUUGGUAAGGUAACGGCUUACCAAGGCUACGAUGGGUAGGGGUCCUGAGAGGGAGAUCCCCCACACUGGUACUGAGACACGGACCAGACUCCUACGGGAGGCAGCAGUGAGGAAUAUUGGACAAUGGGCGCAAGCCUGAUCCAGCCAUGCCGCGUGCAGGAUGACGGUCC